rnacentral:rRNA from 1 species
UAAAGAUUAAGCCAUGCAUGUCUAAGUAUAAGCACUUUAUACUGUGAAACUGCGAAUGGCUCAUUAAAUCAGUUAUCGUUUAUUUGAUAGUACCUUACUACAUGGAUACCUGUGGUAAUUCUAGAGCUAAUACAUGCUAAAAACCCCGACUUCAGGAAGGGGUGUAUUUAUUAGAUAAAAAACCAACGCCCUUCGGGGCUCCUUGGUGAAUCAUAAUAACUUAACGAAUCGCAUGGCCUUGCGCCGGCGAUGGUUCAUUCAAAUUUCUGCCCUAUCAACUUUCGAUGGUAGGAUAGUGGCCUACCAUGGUGGCAACGGGUAACGGGGAAUUAGGGUUCGAUUCCGGAGAGGGAGCCUGAGAAACGGCUACCACAUCCAAGGAAGGCAGCAGGCGCGCAAAUUACCCAAUCCCGAUACGGGGAGGUAGUGACAAUAAAUACUGAUACGGGGCUCUUUUGGGUCUCGUAAUUGGAAUGAGAACAAUUUAAAUCCCUUAACGAGGAACAAUUGGAGGGCAAGUCUGGUGCCAG